GCGCCCGUAGCUCAGCGGAUAGAGCGUCUGCCUCCGGAGCAGAAGGCCGUGGGUUCGAGUCCCGCCGGGCGCGCCA
rnacentral:tRNA from 3 species